rnacentral:rRNA from 1 species
AGCAGCCGCGGUAAUUCCAGCUCCAAUAGCGUAUAUUAAAGUUGUUGCAGUUAAAAAGCUCGUAGUUGAAUUUCGGAAUCGACGGAUUGGUCGCGCCUUCGGUGUGUACUGGUCUUGCCGGUUUCUCCCUUCUGACGAACCACGAUGUCAUUAAUUUGGUGUCGUGGGGAAUCAGGACUGUUACUUUGAAAAAUUAGAGUAGUUUAAAGCAGGCAUUAGCUUGAAUACAUUAGCAUGGAAUAAUGAAAUAGGACGUUUGAUCUUAUUUUGUUGGUUUCUAGGAUCGACGUAAUGAUUAAUAGGGAUAGUUGGGGGCAUUAGUAUUCAAUUGUCAGAGGUGAAAUUCUUGGAUUUAUUGAAGACUAACUACUGCGAAAAGCAUUUGCCAAGGAUGUUUUCAUUAAUCAAGAACGAAAGUUAGGGGAUCGAAGACGAUCAGAUACCGUCGUAGUCUUAACCAUAAACUAUGCCGACUAGGGAUCGGAUGAUGUUAAUUUUUAAUGUACUCA